rnacentral:rRNA from 1 species
GGGGGCGCGCACAAGCGCUGGAGCAUGUGGUUUUAUUCGCAGCAACGCGAAGAACCUUACCAGGUCUUGACAUCCCGCUGACCGCUCUACAGAUAGAGUUUUCCCUUCGGGGACAGCGGUGACAGCUGGUGCAUGGUUGUCGUCAGCUCGUGUCGUGAGAUGUUGGGUUAAGUCCCGCAACGAGCGCAACCCUUGAUCUUAGUUGCCAGCAUUCAGUUGGGCACUCUAAGGUGACUGCCGGUGAUAAUCCGGAGGAAGGUGGGGAUGACGUCAAAUCAUCAUGCCCCUUAUGACCUGGGCUACACACGUGCUACAAUGGACGGUACAGAGGGUCGCAACCCCGCGAGGGUGAGCUAAUCCCAUAAAACCGUUCUCAGUUCGGAUCGUAGGCUGCAACUCGCCUACAUGAAGCCGGAAUCGCUAGUAAUCGUGGAUCAGCAUGCCACGGUGAAUACGUUCCCGGGCCUUGUACACACCGCCCGUCACACCACGAGAGUUUGUAACACCCGAAGUCGGUGGGGUAACCCUUACGGGAGCCAGCCGCCGAAGG